AACUGAAGAGUUUGAUCCUGGCUCAGAGUGAACGCUGGCGGCAGGCCUAACACAUGCAAGUCGAGCGGCAGCACAGGAGAGCUUGCUCUCUGGGUGGCGAGCGGCGGACGGGUGAGGAAUACAUCGGAAUCUGCCCAGUUGUGGGGGAUAACGUAGGGAAACUUACGCUAAUACCGCAUACGACCUACGGGUGAAAGCAGGGGACCUUCGGGCCUUGCGCGACUGGAUGAGCCGAUGUCGGAUUAGCUUGUUGGUGAGGUAAAGGCUC
rnacentral:rRNA from 1 species